GAUGAACGCUAGCGGCAGGCCUAAUACAUGCAAGUCGAGGGAGAAUGUUGGAUUCGUCUGACAUGAAACCGGCGCACGGGUGCGUAACACGUAUGCAACCUACCUCUAACUGGGGUAUAGCUCAGAGAAAUCUGAAUUAAUCCCCCAUAAGACUACGACAUGGCAUCAUGAUGUAGUUAAAGCUCCGGCGGUUAAGGAUGGGCAUGCGGUACAUUAGCUAGUUGGUGAGGUAAUGGCUCACCAAGGCUACGAUGUAUAGGGGGUCUGAGGGGAUGAUCCACCACAAUGGUACUGAGACACGGACCAGACUCCUACGGGAGGCAGCAGUAGGGAAUAUUGGUCAAUGGACGCAAGUCUGAACCAGCCAUGCCGCGUGAAGGAUGAAGGCCCUAUGGGUCGUAAACUUCUUUUAUUAGGGAAGAAAAAACGGGAUGCGUCCUGUACUGACGGUACUUAAUGAAUAAGGAUCGGCUAACUUCGUGCCAGCCGCCGCCGUAA
rnacentral:rRNA from 1 species